rnacentral:lncRNA from 1 species
UCUCCUCACAAACCGUCUCCGAAUUCUCCAAAGCGUCUCUAUUAUACUUCCACCCCUCUCUCAAUUCCACCGUCUGCAGAAAACCCUAAUUCCAGAACCUCCCUCAAAAUCAGGGCCGUCAUCUUGCAAAAAAUCAGCCCUAUUCUCCCAAUUUCCUUCUUUUCGCCCCAAGCAAUCUCGCCCCAUUUGAAAUGAAAUUCAGGCCGGGAGAGAAAGAGAAUUUCGACUCUGCUGGAGAUUAAAUGGCAGGGGGAAAGUGUGAACGCAAAAUAGGGAAAAUUGACUGUAGCACGGUCGAAAUGAAGGUAGGGAAGUCGGAGGAGGUGAUGAUGAUGAUUUGCAGGUAGUUGGUCGGCCAAGGGAAGAAGAUACAAUAACAUUCCUCUUUUUUUUUUUUUCCUUCUUUUAAUGAUUAAUUUAUAUUUAAUAUAUAUAAUUUUAGUGAAUGGACAAUUUUACCCUUGAAAAUCACACGUGCAUCGCACAUGAUAUAACAUUCCGUCCAAAAUUGCCGGAAAAUUGAGUUUAGGGGGCACCGUGCAAUGAAUUAACGAGUUUAGGUAAAUCUGUGCAAAUUUUUUUUGUUUAGGGGGCAAAGUGCAAAACGACCAUUAGUUUAGGAGGCAAACUGCUUUUUACUCUAUUUUAUAUUUGCAGUCUUGAAUUUAUUAUAACACAGAUAAAAGUGUUAUAUGAUAUUAGCACUUUUGUUAUUUAGUUUAGCUAAUAGCGCUUUUACAUUUUACACGUGUAAAAUCGGG